ACAAGAGACCAAUUCCACUUCUUUUUCUCUCUUCUCUGAUUCAAGCAAUCAACCACCACCAUCACUGAAACCACCGUGGCAACCACCGUCCACCACCACCAUUAUCUGCUGCCCAGCACCACCAUCUCAACCACGCAACACCACCGCACACCUACCGUCCCUGUUCUCCUCCUCGCAACUUCGCACACCCCUGCCCCCCCUUUCGUCCCUUUGCUGCACCACCCAACCUCGCAGCCAACACAACCGGCCAUCGCACCACCUUCUAAAUUCAUCUCUGUCCCAAUUUUUCCGACAAACGGCUGUUACCGCCGCCCAGAACGGCCCGGAAAAUACCCCCUCCCCUGUUUUUCCCCUGUUCCGCGCGACCACCCUUCCCCCUUCCCUGUUGUUCCGCCGCCGUGAACCAACAACCACCAUCACCGGCGCACCUUCGCGCCGCCGUGCCGCCCAGGACUCAGCCACCGCCGUCCCUUCUUCGUUCUUCCCUUCCUCCCUCCUCUCCUUCCUCUCUUCUCCUCCUGCUCGUGCCUUCCCCUGCUCGUGCCUCCCUUCCCAGAAACCACAAAUCAGUUUCAAUUGAAACUUGAUUUAUUUUCUCCUCAAACCCAUAACUAAAUUGGGCCACUUUCCUUUGGGCUUUGGAAAUCAGACUCGGAGCUCAGGAAGAACGAACCAACGAAAAGGCUUAGCAAAUCGCGGAAUUGAGGUACCGCUGGGAGCGAUGGGAACGAGUAGUGGCGAGGAUUUCACUUUAAUAAUUAAUAUUCACCUAGUUCAUGCUUAAGGAUUUAAUAGUACGUUAUUCAAAAACUUUUAAUAAAUUACAUACUUUUAUUUUAGUAAUAUAAAUGAUUAUUAUAUAAAUUUUGGGAUUUAAUAGCUUAUGAUUGAUGGUUGUCUUGUAAUUCCCAAGAGGGAAUUACGGCAGGUAAUGUCCCGACCAAAUUAGGUUAAUUCCGCUGCUAAUUAUGCAUUAAUAAUUGAAUUAGAG